UGCUCCAAAGAACCUUUCUAAACAGGUA
rnacentral:piRNA from 1 species